rnacentral:misc_RNA from 1 species
AUAUUUAUGUUAAAUUUAUGUUUAUAUUAUAUCUUGUUUUGUAAUUAUAAGUUGAAAUUCCUAUGACAACAGUAUUUAUAAAUAAUUAUAUAUUUUUCCAAAAUUAUGUUUAUAAAUUUUCCAACAAUUUAUCUUUCUUAUAAAUUUUUUUAAACUAAUUUCAAAUUUGAAAUAUUGAAGUUUUAACACGCUCACCGUUGAAUUUCUCUUUCGUAUGAUAGAAUUAAUGCUCGAUCUUUCUAACGUUGUUCUGAUAGGAGACGUAGCCUAUUUUCAUCUAGGUACUUUAAUAAACAGAAUACCAGGCUUUAUGACACCAAAACUCAGGAAUUGUUCAUCAACGAGAAUUCAAUUCUGUAAAGAUUACAGUUUGACGUAACACGUUCUGUUACAAAGA